rnacentral:lncRNA from 1 species
AGUCCCGCGGGCCUGGUCCCAGGCUGCUUGGGUUGUGCGGGUACCUGGUCCCCCAGGGCGGAGCCGCAGCGCUCCUGGUCUGCGGGACGUGGCCCUGUAGCUGGAACCUGGCGCAACUCAGAGAGCUGUCCUCGCAGAGGCGCUGGUCCCAGACCUGCGGCUCCUACCCCGGCCGGCGCUGGCUGGAGGCUUUAGGUUCAUUCUUGUAAGUGUUGCUGGUGUCAGAAUAGGAACCUCCCUGCGCUUUGAAGGGAUGAAUGUGACCUCUCCCACAUUCUCCGGUGCUGUGAUGUACCUUAAACACAGCAAGGUACUUGGACACAAAGCCUGUGCCUGGAGCCCUUAUGCACUUUCAGACAGACAGUGCAUGGCCCUCGCUACAGACUCAGUGCCAUUGUAGAUGUUUCUGCAUGGAAAAUACAUAAACACAAAUAUCUGCAGUUGCCAAUCCACCACCAUCUUGCAGCCCCAAGAGAGCCCCGGGAAUCCAGGUUCCUUUGGUAUUUCUGCUCCCUGCCCUUGGUGCAUAGCCUCCAUCCCCAGGACGACAAGAGGGCUGACUGAGCCCUAACAUCAUCCCACAGUCCAGCUGGGAAGAGAGCCAGCGACAAAGCCAGAGGGAGCUAGCUCCCACACCUCCCAGCCCCAGCUGAGUUCGCUUCUUGAGGGUAUUUUCUGGAAGCCCCGCCUGUGACUUCUGCUGACACCUCACUGGCCAUCUCAACUGCAAGGCAGCCUAGGAAAUGUAGUGCUUACCUGUACACGUGGAUUCCUGGAAUCAAUUCAGGGACACCUGGCCUGGGUGGAGCCCACUCCUCAGCACCCACCUCACUUCUGGCAGUAUUCUGCAGACCCCAGCCCUGUGCCUGUGCUCCUGCACAGCUGGAGAUAAGGAGUGGGCCCUGGAAGAUGCUCAGUCAGGCCCUGCUCCAGAUUUUAGUUUCGCGGAUAAGCACCACUAUGUGUCUCUGCUCUUUUUGUUUUGCUGUAAAGACACAUUGAUAGGUUAAAAUUGUUGUUUGUGCACAACACGGAUCAUGUAGCGUCUUCACAUUAACCCCUAGUUACACUCUCUAAGUUGUCUAUUUUCUUCCCCCAAUAUUUUUAUUGUUAUAAAAAUACACCGAAUAUAAAAACCUUAACCAGGCCAGCCGCAGUGGUUCACACCUGUAAUCCCAGCACUUUGGGAGGCCAAGACGGGUGGAUCACUUGAGGUCAGGAGUUUGAGACCAGCCUAACCAACAUGGCGAAACCCCGUCUCUACUAAAAAUACAAAAGUUAGCGGCGCAUAGUGGCGCCUG